rnacentral:rRNA from 1 species
AUUGAACGCUGGCGGCAGGCCUAACACAUGCAAGUCGAACGAGUGGCGGACGGGUGAGUAAUGUCUGGGAAACUGCCUGAUGGAGGGGGAUAACUACUGGAAACGGUAGCUAAUACCGCAUACCAUCGGAUGUGCCCAUAUGGGAUUAGCUAGUAGGUGGGGUAACGGCGCACCUAGGCGACGAUCCCUAGCUGGUCUGAGAGGAUGACCAGCCACAAUGGAACUGAGACACGGGCCAGACUCCGACGGGAGGCAGCAGUGGGGAAUAUUGCACAAUGGGCGAAAGCCUGAUGCAGCCAUGCCGCGUGUAUGAAGAAGGCCUUCGGGUUGGAAAGUACUGUCAGCGGGGAGGCGUUACCCGCAGAAGAAGCACCGGCUAACUCCGUGCCAGCAGCCGCGGUAAUAC